GCGGCUGUGGCGGAAUGGUAGACGCGACGGAUUCAAAAUCCGUUUCUGGCGACAGAGUGGGGGUUCAAGUCCCUUCAGCCGUACCA
rnacentral:tRNA from 1 species